GCUUGACUCAGCUAAGCGCGAAGGUGUUGUUUCUUCCUGAGGUGCGCUGGGGCUGGGACCCGGUCUGCAGAAGGUCCAGGGGAUGGCGUCGGGGGAUUGAGGAGAGGAGACCAAGCCGGCCUUGCCUCCGGGACCAGCGCUUCCAAAUUCUCUGGGGCGUCCCGGCGCGCACACGCUCCUGAGGCCUCGGCGUUCUGAGGAAAGGGGCUGGCGUGGCGACCCGGGUCCUCGAGGCCGAGAUCUGGCUGUGGCCCGCGAAGCCCCGCUUGCCCGCGCCAGCGUCUUGUCACCCCGAGCCGAGGGCCUGCGCGCGGCCGACAGAUAUGGGAUGCUGGAGGACAUCUGGGGGCCACAAAUGCUCCUUCUCCUGGAGACGCAACUCAAGGUGAGCCUUUACA
rnacentral:lncRNA from 1 species